UACGUAGGGUGCGAGCGUUAAUCGGAAUUACUGGGCGUAAAGCGUGCGCAGGCGGUUUUGUAAGCCAGAUGUGAAAUCUCUGGGCUUAACCCAGAAAGGUCAACUGAUACUGCGGGGCUAGAGUGCAGAAGGGGCAACUGGAAUUCUCGGUGUAGCGGUGAAAUGCGUAGAUAUCGAGAGGAACACCUGCGGCGAAGGCGGGUUGCUGGGCUGACACUGACGCUGAAGCGCGAAAGCUAGGGGAGCGAACGGG
rnacentral:rRNA from 1 species